ACUCAGUUCCCAGCUGUCUGGAGAAUGACAGUAUUGUGGAAUUACGUCACCCGCAACGUGUCUCAGUAGCUGACUCAGAGUGGCUUUCAUCGGUGAUAAGAGCAAGUAACCCACCCUCCCAGCAAGCAAGGAGACUGCUGUGCAGCAUCUGCAUAAUGGGAGACAGGCUAAGCAUGGAUGGAAAAUCCUGAGCCUCCUCUGGUAUCCUUAUCCCUGCUUCUAGGAGUGGAGCAGUUUGUUGCUAUAUAACCUGGGGCUAGAGGGCAGGGUUUGUGCUGGAUGGCUGGAGCCUGCAGAAAGCAGAUAAGAAGCUGUAGUUACUGUAGUGUUGCACCAUUUUCUGUACAGGUUUUUCCUAGGCUACCUCUGAUGGAUCUUCAUGAGAAACGUUAGCUUCUGACGUUUAACCAAACACAUGAUGAAUGAGAUGCUGCUGGCUUCUACUGCCUCCUCUGCCAUAGCAUUCAGGGUUAAUUAAAACCCCUUAGCACAGCUUUGAACUGUUCCUUGCAUAUUAAAAUCAGUACUCUUUUCCCAGCAGACCCUGCAUUUCUGCCGCUGCCUGAUGUCAUCCCCUUCCCUGCCUCCCAGGGAAACAGCAGCCCUAGCUCUGCAGUGCACAUUGCAGCGGAGAUUUAUAGCUAUUCCCCUGUGUCUGAAAUUACUUUAAAUGGGGAGUGAAGUACAAAUGCCUGCCCACAUUUUAGGGGAAAGUCCCUGAUGCAGCGUGUUUAGCAGAAUCAGGGACAGAAAGAGGGCAUUGAGUCAGCAUGAGAGCUGCAACUGAAACCAGUGUUAAGUGCACACUGACAAUAGUUAGCAGUGACAUUAGACUUAAAGAAGAGCUGUGUGUGGCUGGAAAGCUUGCCUCUUUCACCAACAGAAGUUGGUCCAAUAAAAGAUAUUACCUCACCCACCUCGUCUCUCUAAUUUCAACUAUGAGGCAUUUAAUAUGGAAAGAGAAGGCAUUAAUCUUUUCUUCCACAGCAUGCCCGUACCAGUUUGUGAAAUGUGACAGGGCACAACACAAGUUAAGAAGCAUUGGGCUCCAUCACUGUUUGGGUGGGACACGUACAAGCUGUGCUGUGAGAAGUGGGGUAAUCCAAGAAUGGGGGUUUGGAAAACUUGUUCUACUGGAUUCAAACCCGAUGAGGAAACGUGCAACUUCAUUUGGAUACAAGGAUUUUUAUUAUUAUUAUUUUGCUUCCUAUCCUACGCUGUUCUGUAGCAUUGCCAUGUGCUGUUAAACAUCCUACCAGGACUCCUGCCUCGUUCAAUGCACAGGUUGAUUCUGCUCUGGAGGAUGAAUCAGGGUUAUGUAGUGAAGGAGACUGUCGUCUGUAGGACCGCUACCUCAUGUGUCGCAGAAGUUGGAAGAUGGGGAACAGAGACACAGAUUAAUGGAUUUGCCCAAGGUCACCCAGGGAGUCGGUGGCAGAGCUUGGAAUUGACCCUCCCCCACCCCAUGUCCUAAGUCCCAUUCUAGUGCCUUAGUCACCAGAUCAUACUUCCUCUGUGCAGCCACAUGGAAGGAAGCCACCUGUAGGAGGAAAGUUCUGCCCAGAAUGAGUCUGAUACUGACAGCCAGCUGGAGGCUCCAAGCCAGGGUGUGGCUGACUGUGUGUUGGUCUGGAGAGAUUCCCUGUGAGAACCUGAAGCGAAAAGGUCUGUGUAAGGAGGUUUGGGAUUGUUGUAUCAGAGUUGUGGUCUAUGUGGACCCUGAAGUCUCUCAAGAUGAUGAAUCUUGUGAGCUCUAUCCCUAUCAGAUUGUGUGCAUCUCUCUCUGUCCCUCAGGGAAGCCUUUGCUGCCUGGGGAUCUCAUCAGUAGGAUGCCUGUAUUUAUUUUCUCUGGAUUAAG